rnacentral:rRNA from 1 species
GGUUGAUCCUGCCAGUAGUCAUAUGCUUGUCUCAAAGAUUAAGCCAUGCAUGUCUAAGUAUAAGCAAUAUACGGUGAAACUGCGAAUGGCUCAUUAAAUCAGUUAUCGUUUAUUUGAUAGUUCCGUUCUACAUGGAUAACCGUGGAAAAUCUAGAGCUAAUACAUGCGUAAAGCCCCGACUCACGGAGGGGUGUAUUUAUUAGAUAAAAAAUCAAUGCCCUCGGGCCUUUUGAUGAUUCAUAAUAACUUUUCGAAGCUCAUGGCCUUUGUGCUGGAGCUGGUUCAUUCAAAUU